UCAGUCCCAUACUAGCAAGAGAGUUAACACCUUUCUUAUUAGAAAAAAAAGAAAAAAAAAAUUCUGAGUUCAUCUCUUCACCCCGCCGUCUGUUUUUUGUAUCUGGGUUUUGCUUUGGUGGUGACUCAAUUUACACAUCCAAAGAUUUUGAUUUGAUAAAUUGGUUAAGACAAACUUAAGAGGAGAUCGGAGAAGAAGAAGAUAUAAAUUAAAGAAAGAGUUCAAUUGCUUUACAAGGUAUGAUACGGAUACCUGCAACAACUAUAGGUGACUUUUUUCACCUGAAAGUAGUCUCCUUGAACGUUUUCGGUGGUAUGUUACACACUUUAAGAAGUGUUGUGAAUUUUCGCGUAACAAUAAUAUAUGGUCCAAAUUAUCAUCAUAAUUUUCAAUGAUUCUUCUUAGAAGCACAACGGUCUAAGUUAUGUGUUUAAUGAAGGAUAUCAUGUCGAUCGUUAUUGCUUUCAAGAAACUACUCGAAGCAUAUAUGUUUAACGGGUCCUGCCUGCUGUGCAUAUGAUUGAAUUUCUUGGACACUAGAUCUUUCAAAGUUACUUCCCAUAUGUUAACAUCUUAUUGUUUUUUAUGUGUCAUUUAGGUCUACUUGAACUUAAUAAAACAAACUCUCUCUUCUCAUCAAAAAAAAAAGGUCUACUUGAACUGAUCUGUUAGUAAGUUUUUUGAAUUGGACUCUUGCUUCAUUUUAUCGAAGUGUUGUACUGAUUAUUAGUUAUGAUGUUAGUUACUGGAAAAUUAGGAGAGGCGUACUGAUUAUUAGUUACUGGAAAAUUAGGAGAGGCGUAAGUUCAACACCAGUAACUCGCGAUAAAAAUUAUCAGUACUCGAUUUUGAGUGGAAUUUUUCAUUACGAUGAAAAUGUUACUUUGCAAUUUUUUCUUAUGUACUUCUUGAAUUUUUUACCUUGGGUCUUAGUUGAAAUUAUUCAUUUUUAUUCGGAUA